rnacentral:lncRNA from 1 species
CGCUUCUCAGCUGUGGAAGUGAACUCAAAAUCAGAAAGGUAAGUUUUCCAAAAGGGUUCUGAAAGUUCUAAGAUGGGUACUAGUUUAACCUAGAGGAGGUGAAUAGGUUCCAAUUUAAAAAUCCAAUUCAAUUUUCAAUUUAAUUUUCAGUUCUCAAAUUAAAUCCACAUUCACAUCACAUAUCAAACUAUCAUACUCAUAUACAAUUAAACCAAUAAAUAAAAAGUGCACACAUGAUGUAGGAUUUAAUGAGGCAAAACCCACCACUGGGAAAAUUCUCGGGCUCCCAAGCCAGGACAAACACUAGAGAAAUAAGUAGAGAAAGACUUACAAAACUCAUCAACUAGACACGCAUACUAGUAGGCAGUUUUGUCUCCGCGCUUUGCUACUCGAUCUCUCUUCAGUCUUCAAGUUGAAGUGGCACAACACUAACGCGAUCGUCAAUCACCUUUUCCUCGAACUUUGUAAGAUACUAACUCGAUCAUACAAAAUGUUUAUAUGAUGAAGUGUUUAUUUGAAAAACAAUCAAUUACGAAAAUCACAAGGCAUUUUUUCAUAAUUGACAUUCAAUUAAAACCUUAAAUGAAAACAGCAUGAAAAUAAUAUUUUCUCUUUAAAAACGCAUGUUGUUGAAACCACAAGAUAGCAGCAAUAAAAAUAAUUCUUUCUGCUAAAAAAAAAAAACCAAGGCUGCUGCCUUUAGAUGCUUUAUCUAAGAACCCCAAUAUUCAUGCAUAUGCGGCUCAUGAAAUUUUCUAUCUGUUUAAUGCAUUGCAGCUAGUGUUUAUACCAUACGGAAAAGCCUAAAUGCAUAUGCAGCAGCAGCAAGAAAAACCCUAAACUGAUCUAAAGCAUGCGGCAACCAAAACAUAAAAACAUAUUCUGAUGCACUCGGUGCUAAUGCUCUGUUAAUCUAGCGGCAGCCACUGAACCAGGUAACUAAGACUUCUAUUUAUCUGUGCAACAGCUAGACUCUCUUAUCCCUAUCAUAUACGCGUGAGCCACAAGCCUAAUAAGACCUAAUCACUUAUCAGUUAAGAUAUAAUGAGAUAACUAGGUGAAGAGAUAUAGAUGCAAAACCAGAGACAUUAACAGCAAGUUAAAUCUUAAAAGCAAAACAAGGUCAUGCGGCAAGACUAGGAUCCUGAAGGUACAUAUGUAUAUAUAUGCUAGGGUUUUAAGCUGACUUAAAAUGAUGGGCUUUAGCAUGCUUAAUUAUACAAACAAACCCAAUACUCUUUUAUUAAUGAACAAUACGAUUCAACAUUUUAGCCAAAAUUAAAUAGCCCACUGAACAUAAAUCUAGACUGUAUGAAUGCAUAUGUAUGCCGAACUUACUUUAGUGAUAUCUCUGAAACGCUUGUCAUUUUGUGAUUGAGAGCACUGAGAGAAACUUAAACUAAAAUAAUUACAACGAAAAACAUGACAUUACAAACUCAGGCGUUUUGUUUAGGAAUAGCCAAUUUUACCCUAACAGGUUCAGUUCUUGUACCACAUUUCCAACUCCACCCAGUCUUUCUAAAUUGAUUAUUUUCUCAAUAUCAUUGCAGGCAUCUACACGUAAAUGGCUGAGAUUUGGGGAAAAAAUGAGCCAAGUCAAGUCCGUGAGAUUUGGGCAUCGUGAUACGUCUAUGCACUGAAGG